UUACCAUGCAGUCGAACGAUGAUGCCCAGCUUGCUGGGUGGAUUAGUGGCGAACGGGUGAGUAACACGUGAGUAACCUGCCCUUGACUUCGGGAUAACUCCGGGAAACCGGGGCUAAUACCGGAUAUGAGCCGCCCUCGCAUGGGGGUGGUUGGAAAGUUUUUCGGUCAGGGAUGGGCUCGCGGCCUAUCAGCUUGUUGGUGGGGUGAUGGCCUACCAAGGCGACGACGGGUAGCCGGCCUGAGAGGGCGACCGGCCACACUGGGACUGAGACACGGCCCAGACUCCUACGGGAGGCAGCAGUGGGGAAUAUUGCACAAUGGGCGAAAGCCUGAUGCAGCGACGCCGCGUGAGGGAUGAAGGCCUUCGGGUUGUAAACCUCUUUCAGCAGGGAAGAAGCGCAAGUGACGGUACCUGCAGAAGAAGCGCCGGCUAACUACGUGCCAGCAGCCGCGGUAAUACGUAGGGCGCAAGCGUUGUCCGGAAUUAUUGGGCGUAAAGAGCUCGUAGGCGGUUUGUCGCGUCUGGUGUGAAAACUCGAGGCUCAACCUCGAGCUUGCAUCGGGUACGGGCAGACUAGAGUGCGGUAGGGGAGACUGGAAUUCCUGGUGUAGCGGUGGAAUGCGCAGAUAUCAGGAGGAACACCGAUGGCGAAGGCAGGUCUCUGGGCCGCAACUGACGCUGAGGAGCGAAAGCAUGGGGAGCGAACAGGAUUAGAUACCCUGGUAGUCCAUGCCGUAAACGUUGGGCACUAGGUGUGGGGCUCAUUCCACGAGUUCCGUGCCGCAGCAAACGCAUUAA
rnacentral:rRNA from 1 species